AUGUACUUCCGGGGAAGACCACCGACUCAGGGCUUUGGUGGAGGGGCGCCGGCAGAUUUAGUUAGGCUCUCCCCCAUCCCUGACACACCGAGCCGGGGCGGGAGCGGGGCUUGUGACCACUCCGGAGAGCUUUGGGGGCCCCUGCUCUGGGACUCCGCACGGAUAGUCACUGGCUCAGAGUGCAUUCUCCAGGGGCCACUCUCGGUUGUCCUAAUUCCAGCACUGAGUGAAAACGCUGCGGCCGCGACGGCGGCGGAUGUGGAGGAGAGCGUGUACGUACUGGCGGAGCACCCCUUCCAGUACACCGGCAAGGACGGGCGCCGCGUGGCCAUCCGGCCCAAUGAGCGCCAAGGGCCGCUGCGACGCAGCACCGAGCACUGAGCACUGGUGACACGUGCGGCGCAAGCCCGGCGGCCGCCCCUUCUACCUGCCCGCGCAGUACGUGCGCGAGCUGCCUGCACUGGGCAACCCUGCCACUGACGCGCCGCCAGGUCCCCCCUCGGGACCCGCAGCCCCUGAGCCGCUCGCCUACGACUACCGGUUCGUGAGCGCGGCGGCGGCAGCGGGCCCCAACGGCCCCCCCGCGGAGCCCCGAGGCGCGGCACCGCAAGCCAGCGCGGCAGCCUGGCGCCCGGCCUGCCCGCCUGCCUGUGCCUGCGGCCCACGGCGCCCGUGCGGCCCGCGCGGUCCCUGGACAACCUGACGCGCGCCGCCGUCUCGCCUCCCGCCGGCUACCUCGGAAGCAGCGGCAGCUCCAAGGCCUGCAGCGUAGCGGGCUCCUGGGUGUGCCUGCUGCCCCUGGUGCACAGCGACUCAGAGAACGUCUAAGAGGCCAUCCAGUAGGUGCGCGGCCCGCCGCGGCAGGAGAUCGUGAAGAAGGUACGACCCCGGGCGCGGAGCAAGGGAGGCUCGUUGAGGACCGCGCCCGCGGGGAGCCUGGGCGGAGGAAACCCGCUCGGCUCAGCGUCGGGCACGACCCCCACCUCUGUCGGAAGACUUCGGAUGAGCUCCCUCUCCCCAACCGCGAAACAGUGCAGGCCCCCAUCCCUCAUCUGCAAUUCCCAGGCUCCAAAGCUCCCUGGAAGCCCGAAAGGUUUUUCGUAAUCAAAUUGGUGGCAAAAUUGCGCUUGAACUGA